rnacentral:sRNA from 1 species
GUGCUCGCUUCGGCAGCACAUAUACUAAAAUUGGAACGAUACAGAGAAGAGCAGGAUUG